AGUGAACGCUGGCGGUAGGCCUAACACAUGCAAGUCGAACGGCAGCACAGUAAGAGCUUGCUCUUACGGGUGGCGCGUGGCGGACGGGUGAGGAAUACAUCGGAAUCUACUUUUUCGUGGGGGAUAACGUAGGGAAACUUACGCUAAUACCGCAUACGACCUCCGGGUGAAAGCAGGGGAUCUUCGGACCUUGCGCGAUUGAAUGAGCCGAUGUCGGCUUAGCUAGUUGGCGGGGUAAAGGCCCACCAAGGCGACGAUCCGUAGCUGGUCUGAGAGGAUGAUCAGCCACACUGGAACGGAGACACGGUCCAGACUCCUACGGGAGGCAGCAGUGGGGAAUAUUGGACAAUGGGCGCAAGCCUGAUCCAGCAAUACCGCGUGAGUGAAGAAGGCCUUCGGGUUGUAAAGCCCUUUUGUUGGGAAAGAAAAGCAGCAGGUUAAUACCCCGCUGUUCUGACGGUACCCAAAGAAUAAGCACCGGCUAACUUCGUG
rnacentral:rRNA from 1 species